UACGUAGGGGGCAAGCGUUGUCCGGAAUCAUUGGGCGUAAAGAGCGUGUAGGCGGCUCGAUAAGUCUGCUGUGAAAGUCCAGGGCUCAACCCUGGAAGGCCGGUGGAAACUGUCGGGCUAGAGUCCGGAAGAGGCGAGUGGAAUUCCCGGUGUAGCGGUGAAAUGCGCAGAUAUCGGGAGGAACACCAAUGGCGAAGGCAGCUCGCUGGGACGGUACUGACGCCGAGACGCGAAAGCGCGGGGAGCAAACAGG
rnacentral:rRNA from 1 species